AUUUUGAAAAACCCGCAAUAAUUAUUCUUUAUGGCCACCUAGUAGAGGAAUUUUGAACUGCUCUAUCGAAUCAUGCGUGAUUGCUUGUUGUCGUCUGGUUUAUUUCCACGUGGCGAAUUGUUGACCGAACACCGAAGAAAGGAAAUUAUAUUUAUAUUUUAAUAUAACUGAGAUUACUUUGAUCUUCUCAUAAUUAUUUUAUAGAAUUUUGUUUUUUUCCACGUAAUAUCGAAAUAAUCUCUUCAAACAGUAAUUUUAUUGUUUAAGACUAAAUUCUGUUGAUUUGGGACACAAAGCUGCAUAAAGCAUCAACACAUUUUUUAAAAAAGUUUCUGUGUUAAGAAACUGAUGGCCUGUUGCAACUAUUACCCUUUUCAAUCACCAAAAUCUGCAUGACAGAAUCAAUGUUUUCCUGUGCACAUGCAAUGCUUCAUAUAAAGUUGAGCAAUGAGCUAUAUCAUAAUUAUUGCAAAAUUUUCUGUUUUUUAACCCUCACUAAAUUUUUCACUUGUUUAACAGAUUAGCAAGGGGCAUUAAAUAUGAAAUGGACACAUGCAUGGAAAUAUUUCAAAACAGGAUGUUGAAUUGGGCUAACUAUUGAAAGUCCUGAAUGCUGCAAUGCAUACGUUUUAUUCUAACUUCAGGAGGUCUGAGUGCCAUCUCUCAAGUGUACACUAUCAACGAUAGUUCAGUUUGCAAGAGGAAACUUUUGACUCAAAUCUUCAAACCUUUUCUUCUUUCAAAAGAAAUUACUGCCACUCUUUCUACGACCAACAUGAUGACCAGCACCAGCAGCACUUUGAGGUUAUAGAACUCUACGAAGUUAAAAAACGACUUCAGCCCAAGUACCAAUAAUCACAUUGGUAUUAGGGUUAGUUAAAAUUAGUAGUUGGAAGUUGAGACCAGAUGGGGAAUCAGUGCUUGUGCAAUUACAGUCGAGAAUAAAGGAAUAAAAAAACAGACGGUCCUAAAUUUUCCCAGUUGACUGCCUAUAUUCAAGUCAUUGUCAAUCAGGAGCGACAACAAGGUGCAGUAACAUCGGCCCGGUCUUUAGAAGUGAUCUUCAAUUCAACAGUAGCUGCCGAAUGGUCCUUGGAUUACGAAGUUUUUCUUAGUUAUUCUUCGUUCAAGAUUAAAAAUUCCGCGAGGUUCAUGUAAAAGAAUAAAUGCCAAUAUUGUCCACCCUUUCAUUCGUGCUGACGCCAUUCUUGAAAUUGUUGGAACAUGACUGACGCCUGUAUUCUAGCUAGGAUCAUGGACCGGAGAGGAUCGCCGCCGCCACUACAAGAUAGGACCCUGGCCCACGGGUCAAAGACUGGAGAGGAUCGCCGUCGCCCUCGCCGCCGCCACCACCACCACCGGAGCCGCUUCAAGAUCGCCGCACGCUAGAACCUUCGC
rnacentral:lncRNA from 1 species